rnacentral:tRNA from 1 species
GCCUUCGUGAUGUAUUGGUCAAUACGCUCGACGCGUAUUCGAGAGGUCUGUGGUUCGAAUCCAGGCGAAGGCA